GACGUAGGGCGCGAGCGUUGUCCGGAUUUAUUGGGCGUAAAGAGCUCGUAGGCGGUUUGUCGCGUCGGGAGUGAAAACCUUGGGCUUAACUCAGGGCUUGCUUUCGAUACGGGCAGACUAGAGGUAUGCAGGGGAGAACGGAAUUCCUGGUGUAGCGGUGAAAUGCGCAGAUAUCAGGAGGAACACCGGUGGCGAAGGCGGUUCUCUGGGCAUGAUCUGACGCUGAGGAGCGAAAGUGUGGGGAGCGAACAGG
rnacentral:rRNA from 1 species